rnacentral:rRNA from 1 species
UUGGAGGGCAAGUCUGGUGCCAGCAGCCGCGGUAAUUCCAGCUCCAAUAGCGUAUAUUAAAGUUGUUGCAGUUAAAAAGCUCGUAGUUGAAUUUCGAGAUCAAAUUGUUGGUCGUGCCUCGGUACGUACUGGCAUUAUUGAUUUCUCCCUUCUGAAGAACCUUGAUGUCAUUAAUUCGGUGUCUUGGGGAAUCAGGACCGUUACUUUGAAAAAAUUAGAGUGUUUAAAGCAGGCUCACGCUUGAAUACAUUAGCAUGGAAUAAUGAAAUAGGACGUUUGAUUCUAUUUUGUUGGUUUCUAGGAUCGACGUAAUGAUUAAUAGGGAUAGUUGGGGGCAUUAGUAUUCAAUUGUCAGAGGUGAAAUUCUUGGAUUUAUUGAAGACUAACUACUGCGAAAGCAUUUGCCAAGGAUGUUUUCAUUAAUCAAGAACGAAAGUUAGGGGAUCGAAGACGAUCAGAUACCGUCGUAGUCUUAACCAUAAACUAUGCCGACUAGGGAUCGGAUGAUGUUAAUUUUUUAAUGACUCAUUCGGCGCCUUACGGGAAACCAAAGUGUUUGGGUUC